rnacentral:misc_RNA from 1 species
GAUGAAGAACGUAGCGAAAUGCGAUAAGUAAUGCGAAUUGCAGAAUUCAGUGAGUCAUCGAAUCUUUGAACGCACAUUGCGCCCUGUGGUAUUCCGCAGGGCAUGCCUGUUCGAGCGUCAUUUCAACCCUCAAGCCCCGCUUGGUGUUGGGCCCCGCCCGCUGUGGCCGGCCCUAAAGACAGUGGCGGCGCCGCCUGGCCCUCAGCGUAGUACAUCUCUCGCUCCAGGGUCCGGUGGCCGCCUGCCAGAACCCCCCAACUCUGUGGUUGACCUCGGAUCAGGUAGGGAUACCCGCUGAACUUAAGCAUAUCAAUAAGCGGAGA